UUGUAUCAUAAAUGCUAUUCCGACUUAACCAGAUUUACUUUGUAUUGGUCCUGAAUGCCAUUCCAGCCGGGUAUCCGUAACCAUCUCUUGGACCAUUACCAUAUACCCAAAGACCAAAUCGUACGUCGUUACUUGCGUUGAAAUACGAUAUCAUGCCGUGAUCAAAAUCUACAAAGCUUCUCUCGGGAAUUGAUUUUGAUUCUAUCUUAAACUGAUAAUGGACCGUAACAUUUGUUGGUUGGUUACUAUAAAUUCGGACAAUCUUAGAUGGCCGUCUAGCAAUAUCUGGAAUCACAUAUACUCUAUCCCAUUGAUCUGAUGGAAUCACCAUUUCCAUUAAAGGAUUGGAACCACCAC
rnacentral:lncRNA from 1 species